ACAGAGGUCCCGAGCGUCGUUCGGAUUCACUGGGCGUAAAGGGUGCGCAGGUGGCUUGACAAGUUUGAUGUGAAAUCUCCGGGCCCAACCCGGAAAAUGCAUUGAAUACUGUUGAGCUUGAGGUUUGGAGGGGGGACUGGAAUUCUCGGUGUAGCAGUGAAAUGCGUAGAUAUCGAGAGGAACACCAGUGGCGAAGGCGAGUCCCUGGACAACACCUGACACUGAGGCACGAAAGCCGGGGGAGCAAACAGGA
rnacentral:rRNA from 1 species